rnacentral:rRNA from 1 species
UACAGAGGUGGCAAGCGUUGCUCGGAAUUACUGGGCGUAAAGGGCUCGUAGGUGGCCAACUAAGUCAGACGUGAAAUCCCUCAGCUUAACUGGGGAACUGCGUCUGAUACUGGAUGGCUUGAGUUUGGGAGAGGGAUGCGGAAUUCCAGGUGUAGCGGUGAAAUGCGUAGAUAUCUGGAGGAACACCGGUGGCGAAGGCGGCAGCCUGGACCAACACUGACACUGAUAAGCGAAAGCCAGGGGAGCAAACGGG